AAAAAAGAAACAAGAAAACUAUGAAGAAUGAAAAAAGGAAAAAAAAAAUGUUUACAAAAACUGUCACAUUAACGAGAUGGGAGGUAUGUCUUUCAAAAUCCAAGGCUACCUGUGGUUAUUCUGCUUCUGGAUGGCACUCCACAGAUAAUGAGGUAUGCAACUUCUACUAGAUAACUUUUCAGGGCAGACUAUGAAAAGUACUGGUCGUCAG